CAUGCAAGUCGAGCGGCAGCGCGGUCUUCGGACUGGCGGCGAGCGGCGGACGGCUGUAUAACGCGUGGGAAUGUACCCCAAAGUGAGGAAUAACUGCCCGAAAGGGUAGCUAAUGCCGCAUAUGGUCUUCGGAUUAAAGCCUUCGGGCGCUUUGGGAACAGCCUGCGUAUGAUUAGAUAGUUGGUAAGGUAAUGGCUUACCAAGUCUACGAUCAUUAACUGGUCUGAGAGGAUGAUCAGUCAGACUGGAACUGAGAUACGGUCCAGACUCCUACGGGAGGCAGCAGUAAGGAAUCUUCCACAAUGGGCGAAAGCCCGAUGGAGCAACGCCGCGUGCAGGAUGAAGGCCUUCGGGUCGUAAACUGCUUUUAUGGGUGAAUAAUAUGAAUGUAACCCUUGAAUAAGCACCGGCUAACUACGUGCCAGCAGCCGCGGUCAUACGUAGGGUGCAAGCAUUAUCCGGAGUGACUGGGCGUAAAGAGUUGCGUAGGUGGUUUGUCUGGUGAAUAGUGAAAUCUGGUGGCUCAACCACACAGACUAUUGUUCAAACUGGCAGACUCGAGAAUAGCAGAGGUAACUGGAAUUUCUAGUGUAGGAGUGAAAUCCGUAGAUAUUAGAAGGAACACCAAUGGCGUAGGCAGGUUACUGGGCUAUUUCUGACACUGAGGCACGAAAGCGUGGGGAGCGAACCGGAUUAGAUACCCGGGUAGUCCAUGCUGUAAACUAUGGAUACUAGUUGUUAGGGGUAUCGACCCCCUUAGUAACGAAGCUAACGCGUUAAGUAUCCCGCCUGUGGAGUACGGUCGCAAGACUAAAACAUAAAGGAAUUGACGGGGACCCGCACAAGCGGUGGAGCGUGUUCUUUAAUUCGAAGGUAAGCGAUAAACCUUACCAGGCUUUGACAUCCCGAUAACCGUUCUUUGAAAGAAGAACUUCAUUUAGUUGGAUCGGUGACAGGUGAUGCAUGGCCGUCGUCAGCUCGUGUCGUGAGAUGUUAGGUUAAGUCCUUCAACGAGCGCAACCCUUGCAAGUAGUUGUAUUUUUCUACUUGGACUGCCCCGGUAACGGGGAGGAAGGAGGGGAUGAUGUCAGGUCAGUAUUUCCCUUAUAGCCUGGGCUAGAAACGCGCUACAAUGGCUGGUACAAUGCGCAGCGAAACCGCGAGGUGAAGCAAAUCGCAUCGAAACCAGUCCCAGUUCGGAUUGCAGGCUGAAACUCGCCUUCAUGAAGU
rnacentral:rRNA from 1 species